rnacentral:misc_RNA from 1 species
GAUGAAGAACGCAGCGAAAUGCGAUAAGUAAUGUGAAUUGCAGAAUUCAGUGAAUCAUCGAGUCUUUGAACGCACAUUGCGCCCCCUGGUAUUCCGGGGGGCAUGCCUGUCCGAGCGUCAUUGCUGCCCUCAAGCACGGCUUGUGUGUUGGGCCCCGUCCUCCGAUCCCGGGGGACGGGCCCGAAAGGCAGCGGCGGCACCGCGUCCGGUCCUCGAGCAUAUGGGGCUUUGUCACCCGCUCUGUAGGCCCGGCCGGCGCUUGCCGAUCAACCCAAAUUUUUUAUCCAGGUUGACCUCGGAUCAGGUAGGGAUACCCGCUGAACUUAAGCAUAUCAAUAAGCGGAGGA